rnacentral:rRNA from 1 species
UACGAAGGGGGCUAGCGUUGCUCGGAAUCACUGGGCGUAAAGGGUGCGUAGGCGGCUUUGUAAGUCAGUGGUGAAAUAUGGCAGCUCAACUGUCAGGGUGCCAUUGAUACUGCGGAGCUUGAGUACAGAUGAGGUAGGCGGAAUUGACGGUGUAGCGGUGAAAUGCUUAGAUAUCGUCAAGAACACCGAUAGCGAAGGCAGCUUACUGGGCUGUAACUGACGCUGAGGCACGAAAGUGUGGGGAUCAAACAGG